UACGUAGGUGGCAAGCGUUGUCCGGAUUUACUGGGCGUAAAGAGCGCGCAGGCGGUCGUUCAAGUCGAGUGUGAAAGCCCCCGGCUCAACUGGGGAGGGUCACUCGAUACUGAUCGACUCGAAGGCAGGAGAGGGAAGUGGAAUUCCCGGUGUAGUGGUGAAAUGCGUAGAUAUCGGGAGGAACACCAGUGGCGAAGGCGGCUUCUGGUCUGUAACUGACGCUGAGGCGCGAAAGCGUGGGGAGCAAACAGG
rnacentral:rRNA from 1 species